UGUGUGUGUGAAUAACAUAUUAAAAGGAACAAAAACAAAAAAAUAAAAAAUAAGAAAAAGAUAGAAGACCUACGCACACAUAUGAACUAGAUGAAAAUAUAAAAAUUAAAAGAAACCAACAACAAAAGGCAGCAAGAAAAGAUGCACGUUGUCAAAUCGGGUCAAAAGUUCGCAACAAAAACAAACACAGAACUAACCUAAACCAAUCUAUUCACUCAGGCGCUGACCGAGUCUAAGAAAUUCUUAUUCUUCCUUUAUAUUAAUGUUGUGCUGGUAGUAGGCGACCACAAGCCUUAAUAGAGCAAACAUCCAUAUAUAUAUAUAUAUAUAUAUAUAUAUAUAUAUAUAUAUAUAUAUGCGCGCAUAUAUAAAGAAACGUAAGGGAAAAAAGACAGACACAAGUUGAUAAUAAUUUACACAUACUUGACUAAAGUGCAAAGUGAAGUCAGUUAAGAGCAGAAAAAGCAAAAAAGCUUUUCCAUCGUUUGUGUGCCUAAGAGUGAGUGCAUGUGUGCGCUUGCAUAUGUGUACGAAUGCAUUAAUGCCGGCUGCUGUGCCAAAACCAAACGCCUUUACAACACUUUAUGACUAGAUUACAAUUUAUAUAUACAUACACAUACAUAUGUUUUUAUGUCUAUAGUUAUGUAUGUAUGAAUGUAUGCUAUUGUUUGCCUGUGCAUUUGUGCAUAUACGAGUUCUUCUGCUAAAACUGUUAAUGUUACACAAUUUACACAAACACCAAACUUGUCAAUUUAAUUAAUUAAAAAAUCAUCGUCACAACUGUCAACCAUAUAAGACAGCGCCCAGCAAAAAAAAAAAAAAAAUAUUAAAAAAGAUUAAAAAUAAAAUCAAAACACAUAUUAGCACACGCUCGGAAAUGUCCUUUAAAAGCCUUUUAACAUUAUUAUUACAUGAAAGCAUGAAUGGACGUGCGUACGCGUGUGUAUGUGUAUGUGUAAUUGUGGGUGUGAACGCUUAUAAGCAUAAAGCGUAAAAAUAUAAUCAUAACAUGCAGCAGAGGUUUUUGUCUAAACUUUACUCUACAAAGUUUAACUAACACUCAGAAUCUGCAAAAAAAAUAUCGUCUGGACUUUAGGCGAGGCUGCUGCGUCUGUUACUGGCGUUAUUGGUGUAGCAUUAACUUGCAACCAAAACAAUAUUAAUUUUUUUUUUUGAAAUUUCCUUGUUUGCAGCCUUAAAGGUCGUCAGUUUUCUUUUAGUGAAUAACUGUAAACUGUGCGUUCGUGUCUUGCUAGUUGGCCGGUUGGUGUGACUGAAUAAUUAACAGCUUCUGUGUGUUUCGUUUGUGCGGUUGUAUCCAGUUGGCAUCUCAAUAUCGCCAAGCGAAGACAAGGUGCUUUAUUGUGGCACUUGGCCAAACAAACCGGGGGAAAAAGUGAAAGAGAAACUGAAACGUCAACUAAGUUGAUUGCAAUAAGAAACGCGUGGUGCGCGCCAUAUACGGCAAACAGUGUAACAAUGCUCUCUUAAGCAUGAGUGGAUUUGGAUAUGGCGACGUUUUAAUUCAAGGCUUAAAAUCCUUGCAUUCGCAGUAAUUUUGCGAUAUUUUGUACAUUCUUUUCAUUAUCGAACUUGGCCCAAAUUAAAGUCUAAGUGUAUAUAUUCGCGUUGAUUAAAAGCUAACAUAAUUAACGAUAAAAAUUUCUUGUGAAAUUCUUUGAAAAUAAAAUUUAAAGUAAAUAAAAAAAAAAAAA